rnacentral:rRNA from 1 species
AUUGAACGCUGGCGGCAGGCCUAACACAUGCAAGUCGAGCGGAUCGGCGGACGGGUGAGUAAUGCCUAUGAAUCUGCCUGUUAGUGGUGGAUAACGUCCGGAACCGGGCGCUCAUACCGCAUACUAUCAGAUGAGCCUAGGUCGGAUUAGCUAGUGGGUGGGGUAAAGGCCUACCAAGGCGACGAUCCGUAACUGGUCUGAGAGGAUGAUCAGGCACACUGGAAAGGAGACACGGUCCAGACUCCAACGGGAGGCAGCAGUGGGGAAUAUUGGACAAUGGGCGAAAGCCUGAUGCAGCCAUGCCGCGUGUGUGAAGAAGGUCUUCGGAUUGUAAAGCACUUUAAGUUGGGAGGCGUUACCAACAGAAUAAGCACCGGCUAACUUCGUGCCAGCAGCCGCGGUAAUUC